rnacentral:rRNA from 1 species
AACGAACACUGGCGGCAUGCCUAACACAUGCAAGUCGAACGAGAUCUUCGGGUCUAGUGGCGCACGGGUGCGUAACGCGUGGGAAUCUGCCCUUUGGUUCGGAAUAACAGUUGGAAGCGACUGCUAAUACCGGAUGAUGACGAAAGUCCAAAGAUUUAUCGCCAGAGGAUGAGCCCGCGUAGGAUUAGCUAGUUGGUGUGGUAAAGGCGCACCAAGGCGACGAUCCUUAGCUGGUCUGAGAGGAUGAUCAGCCACACUGGGACUGAGACACGGCCCAGACUCCUACGGGAGGCAGCAGUGGGGAAUAUUGGACAAUGGGCGAAAGCCUGAUCCAGCAAUGCCGCGUGAGUGAUGAAGGCCUUAGGGUUGUAAAGCUCUUUUACCCGGGAUGAUAAUGACAGUACCGGGAGAAUAAGCUCCGGCUAACUCCGUGCCAGCCGCCGCCGUAA